UCUCAUGUGAUCCUCCGUUCCGUUUCCGCUGUGAUAACACCCGCUGCAUCUACAGUCACGAGCUCUGCGACUCUAUAGAUGACUGCGGUGAUGGAACCGACGAGAGGCCGGAGCAUUGUGUGACUCCCACACAUGGGCCCUGCUCUGCAGACGAGUAUAAAUGUGGGAACGGUCAGUGCAUUCCUCUGCAGUACGCCUGCGACGACUACGACGACUGUGAAGACCAGACUGAUGAACUCGGCUGCUACUACGGCCAUGGACGCACAUGCAGUGAGAAUCUGUGUGAGCAUAACUGCACAGAUUUGUCAACCGGAGGCUUCAUUUGUUCCUGUAGACCUGGAUAUAAACCCAACCCGGAGGACAAGAACAACUGCAAUGAUGUGAACGAGUGUGAGAUUUACGGGACGUGCCCGCAGCUGUGCAGGAACACUAAGGGCAGUUAUGAGUGUUUUUGCGCUGACGGGUUUCGAUCAGUGGGAGAGCAGCCGGGAGUCGAAUGCGCUGCUGA